rnacentral:rRNA from 1 species
CCUACGGGGUGCAGCAGUGGGGAAUAUUGGGCAAUGGGCGCAAGCCUGACCCAGCAACGCCGCGUGAAGGAAGAAGGCUUUCGGGUUGUAAACUUCUUUUAAGGGGGAAGAGCAGAAGACGGUACCCCUUGAAUAAGCCACGGCUAACUACGUGCCAGCAGCCGCGGUAAUACGUAGGUGACAAGCGUUGUCCGGAUUUACUGGGUGUAAAGGGCGUGCAGCCGGAGAGACAAGUCAGAUGUGAAAUCCACGGGCUCAACCCGUGAACUGCAUUUGAAACUGUUUCCCUUGAGUGUCGGAGAGGUAAUCGGAAUUCCUUGUGUAGCGGUGAAAUGCGUAGAUAUAAGGAAGAACACCAGUGGCGAAGGCGGAUUACUGGACGAUAACUGACGGUGAGGCGCGAAAGCGUGGGGAGCAAACAGGAUUAGAUACCCCUGUAGUC